GUCGGGAAUUUUGGGCAAUGGGCGAAAGCCUGACCCAGCAACGCCGCGUGAAGGAUGAAGUAUUUCGGUAUGUAAACUUCGUAAGAAUGGGAAGAAACAAAUGACGGUACCAUUUGUAAGCCCCGGCUAACUACGUGCCAGCAGCCGCGGUAAUACGUAGGGGGCAAGCGUUGUUCGGAUUUACUGGGCGUAAAGGGCGCGUAGGCGGCGGAACAAGUCACUUGUGAAAUCUCUGAGCUUAACUCAGAACGGCCAAGUGAUACUGUUCUGCUAGAGUGCAGAAAGGGCAAUCGGAAUUCUUGGUGUAGCGGUGAAAUGCGUAGAUAUCAAGAGGAACACCUGAGGCGAAGGCGGGUUGCUAGGCUGACACUGACGCUGAGGCGCGAAAGCUAGGGGAGCAAACGGGAUUAGAAACCCUAGUAGUCC
rnacentral:rRNA from 1 species